CCCGGGCUUAUACCUAGAGGUACUGAGGAUAAAAAAAUUUAUUUUUAAUGGUACUAUAGUUUAAAUUUGCAAAUAUGCAUUCUACUGAAUGAAAAAAGUUACAUAUAUCUAUUCUCCAUAUAAAAAAAUGCAAAAUCGCCUAGUAUGUCCCCUGCCUGACAACCUCACCAAAUCGAAUAUGUCUGUUCUCGCUUCUGGACGCCCUCAACCUGUGAUCCGCCGCUUGUCAUCCACAUGGACAUGAUAUGCCUCCGGCCUGUUGCAGUGCUUUGGCUUUUUAAGUGCAUUCUGCGAGUUCUUUCUUCUCCAACAUCACUUGGCCUCAUCAAGAACAUUAUUUCCUCCUGUUUCCUGUCAUUCAGAGACUAAGGUCGGUGAGCAUGCUCUAGUUGUGGAAUGAAUUAUCAAAUUCAACGUUCCUACUUUGAGAAUUCCAGCAAAGGACUGCUGGAAUAAUUUCUUGCGUAAUUAGACUCAUGUAGGAGGAACAGUUUUGCCUCAGAGGAACAGUGGCCACAAUUGAUGGCUAUUGCAAAUAUACUAUAUGCAUGUGUGUUAUUCUCAAUGAUCUUUAUCAUUUGUUAGGUUCAUUGGUCCUUUUCAUGUUCUCUCUUCACCUCAUGUGGUGAGGACUUUCCAUGAAGAGAAGUGCUCGGAGGAAUCAUGGAUCGGGAUAUCAAAGGCAUUUGCCAUGCUCUAGAGCUUGAGAAAUUGGUCAAACUAGCUCUCCAGCGUACUCAAUCGCAUCCCAACCUCAGGCCAAGGAUGUCAGAGAUCCUAAUGUUGUGUUUGAUUUUAGAUUGGAGUUUUGAUUUUAAUUAGUUUGUAAUGAUUGUGUUGUUGAAUUAUGAGAAAAAACGUAAAAAAAAAUAAUGAAUAAUUGAAA